ensembl:lncRNA
CUUUAAUGUUCUGGGCCCGGCGGGUCAAUUGAAGACCAUUAUAGGACCCCCCCCCCACCACUGAACACACUCCCUCAGGCCCUUGGGACUCAGGACUACACGCAAGGCCCGGCCUGGACAUCCUGUCAUCCCCUCCCCCUCAGAGCCCCUCUCUCCCGGCAGGCCGGUCCAGAGAGCAACCAGCCCCCCCCCCCAAUGGACACCCUGCCCUAGCCUUGCCUUGGCUCGCUGUCAGCAGAGCUGACAUCAAACGCCUCCUGAAACCAGGGUUCCCCCCAUGGCAUUUGAAGUGUGGGGGACCAUUGUUUUCCAAACACCUGCUCCUGACCUCUCCCUCCGUCUCCUACGUGAAGACCCCUGGCCCACACUGAGGGAGGACGGCGAAAACCAAAACGUAAAGAGAAAGCACGUUGUAGAUGAGCA